rnacentral:rRNA from 1 species
UACUCCUACGGGAGGCAGCAGUGGGGAAUAUUGCACAAUGGGGGAAACCCUGAUGCAGCCAUGCCGCGUGUGUGAAGAAGGCCUUCGGGUUGUAAAGCACUUUCAGUAGGGAGGAAGGUGUUGUCGUUAAUAGCGGCAGCAUGACGUACCUCAGAGAGCCCACCC